GAGUGGGGAGGAGAGAGGGACAGAGAGCCUGCUUGCUUUAAAGGAGCAAAGCGGGAGAGGAGAGGAGCCGCUUACACGAGUAAGUGUAAGUGUAAGUGUAACCGGCUCCUGUCCGGUUGGCUCCUUUAAAGCAAGCAGGCUCUCUGUCCCUCUCUCCUCCUCACUCA